GGGGUGCUAUACAUGCAAGUCGAGCGGACCGACGGGAGCUUGCUCCCUUAGGUCAGCGGCGGACGGGUGAGUAACACGUGGGUAACCUGCCUGUAAGACUGGGAUAACUCCGGGAAACCGGGGCUAAUACCGGAUGCUUGAUUGAACCGCAUGGUUCAAUCAUAAAAGGUGGCUUUUAGCUACCACUUACAGAUGGACCCGCGGCGCAUUAGCUAGUUGGUGAGGUAACGGCUCACCAAGGCGACGAUGCGUAGCCGACCUGAGAGGGUGAUCGGCCACACUGGGACUGAGACACGGCCCAGACUCCUACGGGAGGCAGCAGUAGGGAAUCUUCCGCAAUGGACGAAAGUCUGACGGAGCAACGCCGCGUGAGUGAUGAAGGUUUUCGGAUCGUAAAACUCUGUUGUUAGGGAAGAACAAGUACCGUUCGAAUAGGGCGGCACCUUGACGGUACCUAACCAGAAAGCCACGGCUAACUACGUGCCAGCAGCCGCGGUAAUACGUAGGUGGCAAGCGUUGUCCGGAAUUAUUGGGCGUAAAGCGCGCGCAGGCGGUUUCUUAAGUCUGAUGUGAAAGCCCCCGGCUCAACCGGGGAGGGUCAUUGGAAACUGGGGAACUUGAGUGCAGAAGAGGAGAGUGGAAUUCCACGUGUAGCGGUGAAAUGCGUAGAGAUGUGGAGGAACACCAGUGGCGAAGGCGACUCUCUGGUCUGUAACUGACGCUGAGGCGCGAAAGCGUGGGGAGCGAACAGGAUUAGAUACCCUGGUAGUCCACGCCGUAAACGAUGAGUGCUAAGU
rnacentral:rRNA from 1 species